CCUCCCCCUAUUCGCCUUUCAACCUCGCUCGCUCUCUACACCAACACAACCUCCUCUGCGGAUCCACUGUAGCUACUGCAGUGAAUCCGUCAUCCGUAAAGAGAAAAGGCGAGAGCAAGUCAAGCUGGUCUAUAUUUAUUACAACCAGAAAUAUUUCCCUGAAACAGUCUUAAAAUUGAUUGUGCAACGUCGUCCUUUCAAAGUGUUUCCCUUGCGCACCAGGUGAAGAAACCCAACCGACAGAAUGGGAAACGAAGCAAGUUAUCCCUUGGAGAUGUGUACACACUGUAAGUAUUUGAGGUGAUCACUGGCAACUUCUCCAAUACUGCUGCUGCGAUUCAAACAAUAUCCGCUGUGGGCUGUCCUGCAUGUAAUAUUCAGAUACGACUGGAAUUUAAUCUUAAUUUAUGCAUGUAAAUACAUAAUGUAUGCAUGUAAAUACAUUGACCGAGAACAAUUUUGAGGUAAAAAGUUUAGGCUACGGGAUUGCAUUGUCUCUGGUUUAAAGAGUGACCGCCCAGUCAACUCAAAGGCCAGAAUCUACCAUAGGCUUUGCAGUUCACAAAAGUCCGGGACACUUAAGAGGUAAACGACUGGUCCGGUCGGGGGGAAUUGAGCAGACCAAUGCAUCACCACACGCGACACUGCAUUCUUCAGCCCUUCACAGUGUGACCCAGUCUCAGACGCUGCUGGGAGGCGUGAGCACUUUGCUGCCACAGCUAAAAAUGCCUCCCCCCCUCAUAAAGGUCAGUUUCAGGGCUGGUGGGAGAGCCUUAUUUAUUUUUAGUCUGAGUAAUAUUCCAUUUUUAAUUGGUUUGUCACCCUGCUGCGCCAUCCCUCCACCCUCAUCAAUCCACCCACCCCUCAAGAGAAAAUGGGGCUAAUUAGAGUUUCAGGACUGAACUUUCAGGCUCUACUUUUUCGGGAACUCCCUCCUGUGGAGGAUUGUGGCGUGCAGAGCCGGAGCUCAGACGUCAAUGUUGUGUGUUCUGGGGGGGGGGUGGGAAAACAGCGCAGGGGGCCCACCUCUGCACCUCCCUAACGAGCUGUUACGUUAGGUGUCACAGGGGUGGCCGUCGGGCCGUGAUUUACGACGGCACUUGUUACUUUACUUGCCUUGAAACCCAGAAAAAUCUCCCUCUCUCUUUUUCUCCCCGCCCAGUCUUGUACAGAAUGUGUUUGGCUGGAAAGGCAAAUGCCAAAUGCUAGGUUUUCAAUCAUUUUGAGAGAGACCAGACUAACGUAGGACUUUGUCAAGGGUGCAAGUAGACGGUUCUACUUUCUGGUGUUGAUUUAGGGGUCCCACUUCCAUAAAGACUUGCUACUUUGAUGCUUAUGGACCAGCUGACACAACCACCACCAUCAAAACAGAGUCACGCCUGGGUUGCGCACCUGCGGGACAAUCAAAAACAAGAGCCUUCAACAGGUCUCAGACCUCAGCCAGCCGAUGGACUUCCCCGCAGUGGGAUAUUUUGGGAAGUCUCUACCCACCCCCUCACUCCUGGGAGCAGGGUGUGGGGCAGCUGUUCACCGUGUCAAGAAGGCGCACAACCUUAAAUCAGCUGUGCGCUCCGAGCUGGCAGGGUUCGAACACUGGUCGCUCAGCCAGAUCCCUGUCCUGGUCCACUAGUCAGGGCGUUCGUUAGUAGACCCCUAGAAUGCUAGUCAGUUCUAUCUUUUACCCCGAAUGGUAAAGGUUGGAUAUGGGGAAGGGGGAAGCUGAUCCUAGCGGAGGGGCAACUUCUACUCGGCGGGUUAGGUGACUCCCUGUGCAAGGCUGAAGCUGUGGCUAAACAGACAAAACUACUGGCCCUGCAAAGACUGUUUUCGCUUCAAGAGAACAUGGUGACUCCCUGCUUAACACCUUGCGUUUUUCUGUAGUUGUACCCCCCCCUUCCUCCCCCCACUUAGACUGAAGUCUCAGCACAGUGUGCAUAUCUCUAAGUGGCAAUCUUUAGCAUCUGCUGAGAGCUUUGGGGCGUGUCGUAAGGAGCACCAGUCAAGCAUGGUGAUGCAGCAGAACGUGGCAUGCAUGCGAACCCACACACAAAUAUGCAUGCAUGUACACAGACGGCCAUGUACUGGCUACCGUGUUCUUUGGAGCAAUUCGUGAUCUGUUCGUCAAACUAGACGAGUAUCUGCAUCUAUAGGCAGGUUGUAUUUCCUUGUUUUUUUGUACACAAGACACAUUCUCACAUUCCAAUCAAAAAACUUCACAAACGCAUGAUGUAUA